AGCGUACAAGGUGGAUGCCUUGGCAAUCAGAGGCGAAGAAGGACGUGCUAAUCUGCGAAAAGCUUGGAUGAGUCGAUAAGAGGCGUUUAAUCCAAGAUAUCCGAAUGGGGAAACCCAGUAGAUGAAGAAUCUACUAUCAACAAGUGAAUUCAUAGCUUGUUGAGGCAAACCGGGAGAACUGAAACAUCUAAGUACCCCGAGGAAAAGAAAUCAACCGAGAUUUCGUCAGUAGCGGCGAGCGAAAGCGAAAGAGCCAGUAAGUGAUAGCAAUAUAGUUAGGAGAAUGUGUUGGGAAGCACAAUCAAAGAGGGUGAUAAUCCCGUAUCUAAAAACCAUAUUGUGGUACUAAGCUAACGAGAAGUAGGGCGGGACACGUGAUAUCCUGUUUGAAGAAGGGGGGACCAUCCUCCAAGGCUAAAUACUCCUGAUUGACCGAUAGUGAACCAGUACUGUGAAGGAAAGGCGAAAAGAACCCCGGUGAGGGGAGUGAAAUAGAACCUGAAACCUUGUACGUACAAGCAGUGGGAGCCCCAUCACUUAAUCCGAUUGGAAGGUGAUGAAAAGCAACCGCACUUAAACAAUGGUAAGAGGAGCGAAGCGAGUCAAACCACCCAAAAGAAGCAGUGGGAUUAAGUGAUGGGGUGACUGCGUACCUUUUGUAUAAUGGGUCAGCGACUUAUAUUUUGUAGCGAGGUUAACCGAAUAGGGGAGCCGAAGGGAAACCGAGUCUUAACUGGGCGUUGAGUUGCAGGGUAUAGACCCGAAACCCGGUGAUCUAGCCAUGGGCAGGUUGAAGGUUGGGUAACACUAACUGGAGGACCGAACCGACUAAUGUUGAAAAAUUAGCGGAUGACUUGUGGCUGGGGGUGAAAGGCCAAUCAAACCGGGAGAUAGCUGGUUCUCCCCGAAAUCUAUUUAGGUAGAGCCUUGAGGUGACACCUUUGGGGGUAGAGCACUGUUUCGGCUAGGGGUCCAUCCCGGAUUACCAACCCGAUGCAAACUACGAAUACCAAAGAGUGAUACUCAGGAGACACACGGCGGGUGCUAACGUCCGUCGUGGAGAGGGAAACAACCCAGACCGCCAGCUAAGGUCCCCAAGUCUAUAUUAAGUGGGAAACGAAGUGGGAAGGCUUAGACAGCUAGGAUGUUGGCUUAGAAGCAGCCAUCAUUUAAAGAAAGCGUAAUAGCUCACUAGUCGAGUCGGUCUGCGCGGAAGAUGUAACGGGGCUGAAAUAUAGCACCGAAGCUGCGGCAUCAGGCGUAUCACUAAUACGCCUGUUGGGUAGGGGAGCGUUGUGUAAGCGGAUGAAGGUUCAUCGAGAGGUGGGCUGGACGUAUCACAAGUGCGAAUGCUGACAUAAGUAACGAUAAAACGGGUGAAAAACCCGUUCGCCGGAAGACCAAGGGUUCCUGUCCAACGUUAAUCGGGGCAGGGUAAGUCGGCCCCUAAGGCGAGGCUGAAAAGCGUAGUCGAUGGGAAACAGGUUAAUAUUCCUGUACUUGGUAAAGCUGCGAUGUGGGGACGGAGUAGGUUAGGUUAUCGCACUGUUGGAUAUGUGCGUUUAAGUUGGUAGGUGGGAAGUUUAGGCAAAUCCGGACUUCCUUAACACAGAGAGAUGAUGACGAGGCUCUACGGAGCUGAAGUAACUGAUACCACACUUCCAGGAAAAGCCACUAAGCGAAAGGCUUUACUAAACCGUACUGAAAACCGACACAGGUGGUCAGGUAGAGAAUACUCAGGCGCUUGAGAGAACUCGGGUGAAGGAACUAGGCAAAAUAGCACCGUAACUUCGGGAGAAGGUGCGCCGGCGUAGAUUGUAAGGGCUAGCCCCUGAAGGUUGAACCGGUCGAAGUGACCAGCUGGCUGCAACUGUUUAUUAAAAACACAGCACUCUGCAAACACGAAAGUGGAGGUAUAGGGUGUGAUGCCUGCCCGGUGCUGGAAGGUUAAUUGAUGGUGUCAUCGCAAGAGAAGCACCUGAUCGAAGCCCCAGUAAACGGCGGCCGUAACUAUAACGGUCCUAAGGUAGCGAAAUUCCUUGUCGGGUAAGUUCCGACCUGCACGAAUGGCAUAAUGAUGGCCAGGCUGUCUCCACCCGAGACUCAGUGAAAUUGAAAUCGCCGUGAAGAUGCGGUGUACCCGCGGCUAGACGGAAAGACCCCGUGAACCUUUACUAUAGCUUGACACUGAACAUUGAAUUUUGAUGUGUAGGAUAGGUGGGAGACUUUGAAGUAGGAACGCCAGUUUCUAUGGAGUCAUCCUUGAAAUACCACCCUUUAACGUUUGAUGUUCUAACGAAGAUUGCGGAACGUGGUCUCGGACAGUGUCUGGUGGGUAGUUUGACUGGGGCGGUCUCCUCCCAAAGCGUAACGGAGGAGCACGAAGGUUUGCUAAUCACGGUCGGACAUCGUGAGGUUAGUGCAAUGGUAUAAGCAAGCUUAACUGCGAGACAGACAAGUCGAGCAGGUACGAAAGUAGGUCAUAGUGAUCCGGUGGUUCUGAAUGGAAGGGCCAUCGCUCAACGGAUAAAAGGUACUCCGGGGAUAACAGGCUGAUACCGCCCAAGAGUUCAUAUCGACGGCGGUGUUUGGCACCUCGAUGUCGGCUCAUCACAUCCUGGGGCUGAAGUAGGUCCCAAGGGUAUGGCUGUUCGCCAUUUAAAGUGGUACGCGAGCUGGGUUUAGAACGUCGUGAGACAGUUCGGUCCCUAUCUGCCGUGGGCGUAGGAUGAUUGAUUGGGGCUGCUCCUAGUACGAGAGGACCGGAGUGGACGCAUCACUGGUGUUCCAGUUGUCUCGCCAGAGGCAUUGCUGGGUAGCUAAAUGCGGAAGAGAUAAGUGCUGAAAGCAUCUAAGCACGAAACUUGCCAAGAGAUGAGUCAUCCCUGACUUUAAGUCAGUAAGGGUUGUUGU
rnacentral:rRNA from 1 species